CGUGAGUGAAGAAGGCCUUCGGGUCGUAAAGCUCUGUCAAGUGGGAAAAAAGCCUUUUGAUGAAUAGUCAAUUGGUCUGAUGGUACUACUAGAGGAAGCACCGGCUAACUCCGUGCCAGCAGCCGCGGUAAUACGGAGGGUGCAAGCGUUGUUCGGAAUUACUGGGCGUAAAGAGCGUGUAGGCGGUAUGGUAAGUCAGAUGUGAAAGCCCUGGGCUUAACCCAGGAAGUGCAUUUGAUACUGCCAUUCUUGAGUAUGGGAGAGGAGAGUGGAAUUCCCAGUGUAGAGGUGAAAUUCGUAGAUAUUGGGAGGAACACCCGUGGCGAAGGCGACUCUCUGGACCAAUACUGACGCUGAGACGCGAAAGCGUGGGGAGCAAACAGGAUUAGAUACCCUGGUAGUCCACGCCGUAAACGAUGAGAACUAGGUGUAGCGGGUAUUGACCCCUGCUGUGCCGGAGUUAACGCAUUAA
rnacentral:rRNA from 1 species